UACAGCCAUAUCACAUUGAAACUACCAGUUCCCAUCUGAUCACUGAAGUUAAGCAAUAUUGAGCCUAGUCAGUAUGUAGAUGAGUGACUGGCUGGGAAUACUAGGUGCUGUAA